CCUACGGGAGGCAGCAGUGGGGAAUUUUCCGCAAUGGGCGAAAGCCUGACGGAGCAAUACCGCGUGAGGGAAGACGGCCUAUGGGUUGUAAACCUCUUUUUUCAGGGAGGAAUAACUGACGUGUACCUGAAGAAUAAGCAUCGGCUAACUCCGUGCCAGCAGCCGCGGUAAGACGGAGGAUGCAAGUGUUAUCCGGAAUCACUGGGCGUAAAGCGUCUGUAGGUUGUUGAACAAGUCAACUGUUAAAUCUUGAAGCUUAACUUCAAAAUCGCAGUCGAAACUGUUCGACUAGAGUAUAGUAGGGGUAAAGGGAAUUUCCAGUGGAGCGGUGAAAUGCGUAGAUACUGGAAAGAACACCGAUGGCGAAGGCACUUUACUGGGCUAUUACUGACACUCAGAGACGAAAGCUAGGGUAGCAAAUGGGAUUAGAUACCCCAGUAGUCCUAGCCGUAAACAAUGGAUACUAGAUGUUGAACAGAUCGACCUGUGCAGUAUCAAAGCUAACGCGUUAAGUAUCCCGCCUGGGAAGUAUGCUCGCAAGAGUGAAACUCAAAUGAAUUGACG
rnacentral:rRNA from 1 species